CUGGGCGCUAAAAGUUAACAGCGUCCGCAGGACACUCAGGCUUUAAUCAGAACUGGAGGUCAGAGAACACCAGAGGUCUUUGCUAAAAGAUGCGGGUUAAUCAUGGACGGAUCACGGUGGAGUGGAUGGCACUCCACAAGCUUUGCUGAGUGGAUUAAGAUGGAGAUUUUCUUCAUCCAAGUCUUCGAUUUCUUCAUCAACUUUUAGCACAAUGUUAAAGAACGUGAUGCUCAAACCUCAAAUCUACAACGGAUAUACGGCAGAGACAGAGGAGCUUUGAAAUGUAAAUCUCAUUGGAUCUCCCGUCGAAGGGAUUUUAAUUAAAUUGAUGUACCUUAUUUACCCUGGAUUGGAGGGAAUUCUCAGCUCUGAAAGAUCACAUUCAAGCAGAUUUAGAAAGGAUUUGACACAUAUUGAUAUUGUAUAGAGUCAGUUUUUAAUUCUUUUCAAAUCAUGUUUAGUUAAAGUGCUCAGAUGAUUUCUGUGCUUUGGUGGUGCAAAAAAGUCAUUUUGUGCUGUUUUCACACUUAAUGAAUUGAAAUAAUUAUUAAAACUGAUACGUUACCUUUCUCAAAAAGUUUUGUUUGACCACUCAAUAAAGAGAAAGUCAACCAGUUGGGUCUGAACACACGGAUGACCUUGAAAAGGACUUUCGCCUGUCCUGGAAAAAUGUAUACAAAGUAGAUGUUCACACACAAACACACAAAACUUCUGGGCUAUUUUCAAUAGGUUCAAAAGGGGUUGUAUACGUUUACUGGGUUGUUUUAACCCAUUGUUGGGUCAAAUAUAAAACAAUUCUGGGUUAAAUGAACCCGAUGGCUGGGUUAUUUUCUUUUUGACCCAACGCUGGGUUAAAAAUAACUCAACUUUUUUUUGGAACUAGCUUAAUUAAUUAAAAAUCGAUAUAGGUCUCUGUAAAUGACCUAAAUGACCUUUUAUUGCACAGCCUGACCCCCAAAAUGUGACAAGAGAU